CCCACACCAACACAAUUAGGUGUCUCUUAUAUAAACCAAGGACACAAUAGUGUAAACAGUGACGCUGGUACUUGUGUUGUUAAAGUAGGCUCUCGUUCAAUUCGCUGGUUAAAUUAUAACCAUGAUGCUAAAGGAGGUUAUCGUUCUUGGACUAAUGCUUGCCCUUGUUGCUUCUGAUUCGGACCCCAGGGAUUUUUUUUGCAGCAAACGAUGUAAUGUGGAUCUACUUACGUUAAAGAGAUGUUUUCAGGAUAAAAAGGCAUGCAAGAAACUAGACCAGCCUGAGUUAAUGGAAGCCUGCUACAAGAAAUGUAUGAACAGCUAUGACAUGUGUGCCAAACAACCAUGCCGUGGUAAAAACAACUGCUUGGACAAAUGCCUCAACAAGCAACUCCAGUGUUUGAACGCCAAGAAGAAAACCCAGACCAAGAAGACGAAAACAGAUUGAAAGAAACAAAUGAAGAAUUCGACACUUCAGGCAUUUAGUUUUACAUGAUUGUAUAACAUUUUAAAAUAAAAACUACAAUUUUAAAAAGUAAUAACUGUAAGCAGCAAAAUAACACCAUGGUAUAAUACCCAAGCCAUAUCACACUUUGGAGAUCGAUAUAUUAAUUUGUUUUCUUUAGGUAGAUUUAAACUUUUAAAAAAUGUAAUGCAUUUUUUUAGAGAUACUACCAGCUUUGUACUUUCAGACCGUAACACUUUUGUUUUUAAAGAUUGAUAUAUUGUCUGAACGUCAGUGUUGUAAUUGUUUUCUUCAAGUGGCUGUCUCAACAACACUUACCUUAGGACCUAACCUUUUUGUUUUCUAAUAUAAACCUAUUGUCUGAACGUCAGUCGUCUAAUUGUUUCCUUCAAGUGGCUGUCUUAACUACACUUAUUUGUUUCGAGUGCUCUUGUUUUUACUUAGACAACAACAAAGCACUGUUUAUUUUUUUAAAAUAAAGUUUUCAUAAAACAUAUAAAUAAAUCAAUCGC